UGGUAGACGACGUAUCAGUACGAUUAGUAGUCGGCGGUUAUCGUGUAUUUUCAAGGCGGCUGUACGACAUUUUUUAUAUCUUUCUAUUCAGCAUUGUUUGAAUCUGUUCUUUUUGUAGACGAAGCACUGCCUAAAUGUCUUGGGUUAGUUUGCUGGAUUUAUCCAGUAUUUUUAAAUUUUAUUUUUCAAUUUUGAAGUUCGACCCCAUGGGUUGGUUUCAGUGACGGCCAGUGAGGCAGUGACGGUCUUUAGCUCCACACCGACUUGUACUUUUCUCGUCUCGCUGUCUCCAUGUGGUCCCUACGGAUUGAUUUAAGUCCAGUAUCAAUUUCGUUUAUUGGCGGUGAACUUUUUUUAAAUAAUGCGUAAGCUUGAGCUUUUUGAGUGAAAGUUUUCUUUACCUGUCCGUAGAUUCUAAUAAAUUGUGAUAAAAAUCUAGGUUUAAUAUUUUUCUUGAUAUUCGGUAUAAAUAUUUUUUAUUGAUCAGAUCUUGCCGAGGACCUGUGUUGGAAUGUGGUUUAUUACAGUUAUGGUGCUACGAUGAAUAUUCAAGACUGGUUGAAAAAAAAAAAUCCCGAGAUUCUUCAGAACUUCAAUGUCUAUUUUUUUUCCUCCACCCCAUCGGGGACGGUGCCCCUGAUCGGAUGGGGGGCUCCUUAGGGCUUGCAUAGUAGGCGUGUUGGCCUACUGUGCGAGUCCUUGGAGUUUAAGUUCCGUUGCAGAUUACAGUUUGUUUUAACUUUAAUAUUAAUUUAUAACUGAUAAUCUAGUAAUUUCAGUAAAUUAGCGUUGCACUUAGUUUUGUACAUAUUCAAUGGUUUGUAUAAAAGUGGUCUAUGACCUCUUGUCUUACAAUUAAUUUGCAUUUUAGUAAGCAAUAUAUUAAGUGUUUUUUUUUAUGGUUAUUGAAUUUAUUAUCUUAAUCUACUCUGGUUUUGGUUACUCUCUCCCUAAUGGUGUGAUUUCAAAAGCUAGUUUUUGGAUUAUUAAUUUGGUCAGUUUUUCAUCAUGGAACUAAGUUUCAGUUUAGGUCAGUUUGGUCGUUAUAGAAAAACUGUAGAAUGAUUAAUUCUGGAUGAGUUUCUGGUUUUUCAAAGCUCCCAUUUAAUUUUUAGUUCUUGAUUAUGAAAUUAAUCUAUCUUAAAAUCCAUGGUUAUAACUUCUUAGAUAUUUGGUAGAUGUUAGUAUUUUGAUAUUUGGUAGAUGUUAGUAUUUUGAAGGAGGUUUUAUGGUUUUUGCAUUUUUAAUUUAAAAGAUUUUACAUAAAGGAAAACUUACGUAAUAAACAAUAGUGUGUUAACUUUUGUAUUAAGGUUUACUUUUAAUUUAGUUCUAUACAAAGUUUUUCCUGCUGCUUUUCAUGACUUACAGGUGACCAUACUCUGAGGGAUUUCCAUCUGUUACAAAAACGAGGCUUUCCAAAUUUUCGUCUAAGUGUGAUAGAGGUUUUGACAAUAAAUCUUGUUGUAACCGUAGAUUCAUUAUUUUUUUAUUUUCCAGUGUGUGCACCAUCCUGUAAAUAUCAUUGCUUGUAACCAUAUAAAAUUGACAUGUUUGUCAAAACAAGGGUAUAUAUGCUGUUAAAUGUAUUUAUUUUUAAGAUUCAACGAUAUAAGAUUUUGAGAUUUAUCUCGAAUAGUUCUAUUUUGGAUUGUUACUGUAUAUAAAAUUGUUAACGAAUAUAAAGGGAAUUGACUGA